rnacentral:rRNA from 1 species
AUAAGCGGAGGAAAAGAACCAACAGGGAUUGCCCUAGUAACGGCGAGUGAAGCGGCAAGAGCUCAAAUUUGAAAUCUGACCCCUUUGGGGGCCCGAGUUGUAAUUUGUAGAGGGCGCUUUGGCGUCGGCCCCGGCCUAAGUCCCUUGGAACAGGGCGUCACAGAGGGUGAGAACCCCGUACGUGGCCGCCGGUCUUCGCCGUGUAAAGCCCCUUCGACGAGUCGAGUUGUUUGGGAAUGCAGCUCUAAAUGGGAGGUAAAUUUCUUCUAAAGCUAAAUAUUGGCCAGAGACCGAUAGCGCACAAGUAGAGUGAUCGAAAGAUGAAAAGCACUUUGGAAAGAGAGUCAAAAAGCACGUGAAAUUGUUGAAAGGGAAGCGCUUGCAGCCAGACUUGCCUGUAGUUGCUCAUCCGGGCUCUCGCCCGGUGCACUCUUCUGCGGGCAGGCCAGCAUCAGUCCAGGCGGUCGGAUAAAGGCCUCGGGAAUGUGGCUCUCUUCGGGGAGUGUUAUAGCCCAGGGUGCAAUGCGGCCAGCUUGGACUGAGGUCCGCGCAUCUGCUAGGAUGCUGGCGUAAUGGCUGUAAGCGGCCCGUCUUGAAACACGGACCAAGGAGUCUAACAUCUAUGCGAGUGUUUGGGUGUCAAGCCCGAGCGCGCAAUGAAAGUGAACGGAGGUGGGAACCCCUCGGGGUGCACCAUCGACCGAUCCUGAUGUCUUCGGAUGGAUUUGAGUAAGAGCAUAGCUGUUGGGACCCGAAAGAUGGUGAACUAUGCCUGAAUAGGGUGAAGCCAGAGGAAACUCUGGUGGAGGCUCGCAGCGGUUCUGACGUGCAAAUCGAUCGUCAAAUUUGGGCAUAGGGGCGAAAGACUAAUCGAACUAUCUAGUAGCUGGUUCCUGCCGAAGUUUCCCUCAGGAUAGCAGUAACGUUUUCAGUUUUAUGAGGUAAAGCGAAUGAUUAGAGGCCUGGGGGUUGAAACAACCUUCACCUAUUCUCAAACUUUAAAUAUGUAAGAAGUCCUUGUUACUUCAUU